AAGGGUACGGCUGUUCGCCGUUUAAAGAGGUACGUGAGCUGGGUUUAGAACGUCGUGAGACAGUUCGGUCCCUAUCUUCCGUGGGUGUAGGAUACUUGAGAGGAGUUGCCCCUAGUACGAGAGGACCGGGGUGAACGAUCCACUGGUGGACCAGUUGUCGUGCCAACGGCAGUGCUGGGUAGCUAUGAUCGGACAGGAUAACCGCUGAAGGCAUCUAAGCGGGAAGCCCCCCUCAAAACAAGGUAUCCCUGAGAGCCGAGGUAGACCACCUCGUCGAUAGGCCAGAGAUGUAAGUGCGGUAACGCAUUCAGUUGACUGGUACUAAUUGCUCGAUAGGCUUGAUUUG
rnacentral:rRNA from 1 species